rnacentral:rRNA from 1 species
GUUUGAUCCUGGCUCAGGACGAACGCUGGCGGCGUGCCUAACACAUGCAAGUCGAGCGAAGGGAGUACUACGGUACGAACUUAGCGGCGGACGGGUGAGUAACGCGUGGCAUCUACCCUGUAGACUGGGAUAACACCUCGAAANNGGUGCUAAUACCGGAUCGAGAACGGCAUCGCUUUUCGAAAGGAGGGAAUCCGCUAUAGGAGGAGUCCGCGUCCCAUUAGCUAGUUGGUGAGGGUAACGGCCCACGGCGACGAUGGGUAGCCGGCCUGAGAGGGUGAACGGCCACACUGGAACUGAGACACGGUCCAGACUCCGAGGCAGCAGUGGGGAAUAUUGUGCAAUGGGGGAAACCCUGACACAGCGACGCCGCGUGAGUGAAGAAGGCCUUCGGGUCAAGCUCAAUAGUAUGGGAAGAAAGAAAUGACGGUACCAUACGAAAGCCCCGGCUAACUACGUGCCAGCAGCCGCGGUAAUACGUAGGGGGCGAGCGUUGUCCGGAAUUACUGGGCGUAAAGAGCACGUAGGCNNNUNUAAAAGUCACAUGUNNNAAANNNGGGCUCAACCGAGGGUAUGCAUCUGAAACUAAAUAGCUUGAGUCAAGGAGAGGAGAGCGGAAUUCCUGGUGUAGCGGAAUGCGUAGAGAUCAGGAAGAAUACCAGUGGC